rnacentral:rRNA from 1 species
UGCGCAGGCGGUCCGCAAAGUCUGAUGUGAAAGCCCCGGGCUCAACCUGGGAACUGCAUUGGAAACUAACGGGCUUGAGUGUGGCAGAGGGGGGUGGAAUUCCACGUGUAGCAGUGAAAUGCGUAGAGAUGUGGAGGAACACCGAUGGCGAAGGCAGCCCCCUGGGCUAACACUGACGCUCAGGCACGAAAGCGUGGGGAGCAAACAGGAUUAGAUACCCUGGUAGUCCACGCCCUAAACGAUGUCAACUGGGUGUUGGGGGAGCGAUUCCUCAGUACCGUAGCUAACGCGUGAAGUUGACCGCCUGGGGAGUACGGCCGCAAGGUUAAA